rnacentral:rRNA from 1 species
UGCGCAGGCGGUUUCUUAAGUCAGAUGUGAAAGCCCCGGGCUUAACCUGGGAACUGCGUUUGAAACUGGGAGACUUGAGUGCGGCAGAGGGGGGUGGAAUUCCACGUGUAGCAGUGAAAUGCGUAGAUAUGUGGAGGAACACCGAUGGCGAAGGCAGCCCCCUGGGUUAACACUGACGCUCAUGCACGAAAGCGUGGGGAGCAAACAGGAUUAGAUACCCUGGUAGUCCACGCCCUAAACUAUGUCAACUGGUUGUCGGGGGAUUAACUCCCUUGGUAACGAAGCUAACGCGUGAAGUUGACCGCCUGGGGAGUACGGCCGCAAGGUUAA